rnacentral:rRNA from 1 species
GAUGUGAAAAGCCCGGGCUCAAACCUCGGAAACUGCAUUUGAAAACUGGCAGACUAGAGUACUGUAGAGGGGGUAGAAUUUCAGGUGUAGCGGUGAAAAUGCGUAGAGAUCUGAAGGAAUACCGGUGGCGAAGGCGGCCCCUGGACAGAUACUGACACUCAGAUGCGAAAGCGUGGGGAGCAAACAGGAUUAGAUACCCUCGGUAG